AUGGAUGAAGAUGGAGAUCAUGUCAUUCUUUCAGAUGAUGAAGAUGGACAGGAGCAGGAGGUGGAAGAGGUCAAUGAAGCAGGCAAACGGAAGCUAACUUCUAAAGUUUGGUUGGAAAUGAAGAAGAUCAAGAUCAAUGGGCAAUGGAAAGCAAAGUGCAACUAUUGUCACAAGGAACUUGUUUCAGGACCCAGAGCAGGCACGAAGCAUCUUGCUACUCACCUAAAGAUUUGUACUCUGAAGAUGUUGAAGACGAAGGGAGGCAAAACAUUGAGUCAGCCAUCAUUGAGAAUGAAUGCUAAGGACGACGGUAACGUUUUUUUGGAGAGCUAUACCUUUGAUCAAGAGGUUGCUAGAAGAGAGCUUGGUAACAUGUUGGUGUUGCAUGAGUACCCACUGUCUAUAGUGGAACAUGCUGGUUUUAGGAAGUUUGUUCAUGCACUUCAGCCACUAUUCAAGCUACAUACAAGAAAUACUUUUAGGCAAGAUAUUGUGGAAAAUUAUGAAGAAGAAAAAAAGAAGGCAAUUGAUUACAUGACUAUGAACCAAUCUAGGGUUGCUAUCACUACAGAUAUGUGGACUGCUGACCACCAAAAGAAGGGAUAUAUGGCUAUUACAGCUCAUUUCAUUGAUGAAUCUUGGAAGCUUCGAAAUGUUAUCAUGAGGUUUGUAUAUGUUCCAGCUCCUCAUACAAGUGAAGUGAUAUGUGAGGUGCUCUAUGACUCCCUGCUUCAAUGGAAUAUUGAUGAAAAAUUGAUGGCAGUGACUGUGGAUAACUGCACCACCAAUGACAAGGCAAUUGAGAUGAUUGUGGGGAAGAUAGGGAAGGAGAAGCUCCCUUUGGAAGGUACUCUGCUGCAUAUGCGUUGU
rnacentral:rRNA from 1 species